AAGACCUUACUUCAUAGGAUCAUUUCUAAAGUAAGCUCUUCACGAGAUCAACACACUACGUGUGAUCGUACCGGCCACGAAUUAGGAGAUGUGGCGCGGCGCCCUGAGCGUGAGGCGGGCGGCGGCUCUGGCCGCCAGCCCUCGAUGAUCGUUCACUGCGCUCCCGAGGGAGUGCAGCGUGGGGCGUUGUCGCUGUCUGAGUGGC